GACGAAGGAUGCAAGCGUUAUCCGGAUUCACUGGGUUUAAAGGGUGCGUAGGCGGCCUGCUAAGUCAGUGGUGAAAGCUCCCGGCUCAACCGGGAAACUGCCAUUGAAACUGUCAGGCUUGAGUAUAAUUGAAGUGGGUGGAAUACAUCAUGUAGCGGUGAAAUGCUUAGAUAUGACGUAGAACUCCAAUUGCGAAGGCAGCUCACUAAAUUGUCACUGACGCUGAGGCACGAAAGCGUGGGGAGCAAACAGG
rnacentral:rRNA from 1 species